UCUGAACUGACCCACAGCAGGUCUCAGUCUCUGUGGGAUGACACUUGUCCUCGCCAGGACAUAUCUUUCUGUCUGUCUUUCUUUCUUUUUCAUGAAAGCACAGAGAACAUAUGGAAGAAAUUAAGUCCAGUUAUUUCCUGCUGCUACAUGAACUGUCACUGCUCCAGCCUCCAGACUCAUUUGUUCAACACUUUGCUUCUGGUUUGAGCUCCACAUCCUUAAUUUAAAGAAAAACACACAAACAAGUUGUUCUGAAGAGGAAGGACUUUAAUGUUAAACAAUGACUGCUUUUCUUUGGUGGUCCUUUGUUGUGCUGUUGUGAUGUUUGUUUUUUUGGAGUGAACCCCUUGACAAAGGAAACCCUUGCGUGUUGUUGAGGAAAAUGCAGUUUCAAAGCAGCGAACAUUAGGUCAUCACAGAGGACGCAGCAGUUACAGGAAAUGAUGGCUGAACAAUUUCUUCCUGUGUCAGAAUUAGCUGCUGUGACCGAGUCUGACUGCAGAGCAGAAGUUGUUGUUUCUCACUCUGACUGUGACUCCGACUGUGACUGUGACUCCGACUGUGACUGUGACUCCGACUGUGACUGUGACUCUGACUGUGACUCUGACUCUGACUCUGACUCUGACUCUGACUCCGACUGUGACUGUGACAGCACCUUUAUCUAAUCUAAUAAAUGAUCACAUCUUCUUAUGUGUCACUUUAUCUUGUACUUAGUCAUUAGCCGUGAAAUGUUUAUUCAAAGGAACUCGACUCUGCAACGGCACCAAA